rnacentral:tRNA from 1 species
GGUCUGGUGGUCUAGUGGUAUGAUUCUCGCUUAGGGUACACCCGAAGCAAAUAUGCGAGAGGUCCCGGUUCAAUCCCCGGCCAGACCC